AGACUUAAUUGUAGCAAAGGGAAA
rnacentral:snRNA from 1 species